rnacentral:rRNA from 1 species
GCGAACGCUGGCGGCAGGCCUAACACAUGCAAGUCGAGCGGUCCUUCGGGGCAGCGGCGGACGGGUGAGUAACGCGUGGGAACGUGCCCUUUGGUACGGAACAACUGAGGGAAACUUCAGCUAAUACCGUAUGUGCCCUACGGGGGAAAGAUUUAUCGCCAUUGGAGCGGCCCGCGUUAGAUUAGCUAGUUGGUAGGGUAAUGGCCUACCAAGGCGACGAUCUAUAGCUGGUCUGAGAGGAUGAUCAGCCACACUGGGACUGAGACACGGCCCAGACUCCUACGGGAGGCAGCAGUGGGGAAUCUUGCGCAAUGGGCGAAAGCCUGACGCAGCCAUGCCGCGUGAAUGAUGAAGGUCUUAGGAUUGUAAAAUUCUUUCACCGGGGACGAUAAUGACGGUACCCGGAGAAGAAACCCCGGCUAACUUCGUGCCAGCCGCCGCGGUAACAC